rnacentral:rRNA from 1 species
GAUGAACGCUGGCGGCGUGCUUAAUACAUGCAAGUCGAACGGAAAGGCUCCUGCUUGCCGGGGUACUCGAGUGGCGAACGGGUGAGUAACACGCGGGUGAUCUGCCCCGCACUUCGGGAUAAGCCUGGGAAACUGGGUCUAAUACCGGAUAGGACGAUGGUUUGGAUGCCAUUGUGGAAAGUUUUUCGGUCUGGGGUGAGCUCGCGGCGUAUCAGCUUGUUGGUGGGGUAAUGGCCUGCCAAGCCGCUUACGGGUAGCCGGCCUGAGAGGGUGUACGGCCACAUUGGGACUGAGAUACGGCCCAGACUCCUACGGGAGGCAGCAGUGGGGAAUAUUGCACAAUGGGCGCAAGCCUGAUGCAGCGACGCCGCGUGGGGGAUGACGGCCUUCGGGUUGUAGACUCCUUUCGCUAGGGACGAAGCGUUUUGUGACGGUACCUGGAGAAGAAGCACCGGCUAACUACGUG